ensembl:lncRNA
CCAAAGACUUGGUUAACUUAUCGCUGUUAUUUCCCCAGACAGCAGUGUGUGACCGCCAGUCCUCACUACGCACGGACUUCACGGACCCACACAGCACUGCGCACGGAGAAAGAGAUAUAGAGAGAGAGAAGGCCGAGCACCUUGGCUAUUUACCCCACUUACUGUAUUCUCUGUACAUGGUCCUUGAGAUGCCCUUUGAUUUCACAGCUGAAACAUGUCCUCACUGUGUGCAAGUGCAGGAAGAGCAGGAGACUGAAAUUUGCAGCAGGGUAUGUUUUUUAUAUCUCAAAUAGGGGCACUUAAGAAAAAAAAAAUACAAUCAAAACUUGAUAAUGCUUGCUACACCCUGACUAAAGCUCAUGACCUUUUAGUAUUAUGUGUUAUUGAAUGCACAGUAUUAUUGAAGGUAUUUUCAACACUUCAUUCCAUUUGUUUGUAUACCUUAUUCAGGAGCCAAGGAUAACAAAAGACCUCCACACUGCAUUUGGAUGGAUGCAUAAAAACUUCAGAGGUUUGGUGAAAAAGCUGAGGUUCCUCCAACUGAAAGAGGAAGACCAGAA